AGGGUUUGAUCCUGGCUCAGGAUGAACGCGAGUCGGCGUGCCUAACACAUGCAAGUCGUAUGGGGCUUCGGCUCCAUGGCGAACGGGUGAGUAACACGUGGGCACCUGCCCCCAGAUGGGGUAUAGUGGAGGGAAACCUCCGGUAAUCCCCCAUAGGCGCAUCAAGUGCCUUGGAAAAGCUCUAAAAGUUGUCUGGGGAUGGGCCUGCGGCUGAUUAGCUAGUUGGUGAGGGUAAUGGCCUACCAAGGCGAGGAUCAGUAGCUGGCCUGAGAGGGCGGCCGGCCACAUUGGGACUGAGACACGGCCCAGACUCCUACGGGAGGCAGCAGUGGGGAAUCUUCUGCAAUGGGCGCAAGCCUGACAGAGCGACGCCGCGUGAAGGAAGAAGGCCCGUUGGGUCGUAAACUUCUUUGCACGGGCACAGGAAGACUGACCGCCCGGGAAGCAAGCAUCGGCUAACUCCGUGCCAGCAGCCGCGGUAACACGGGGGAUGCGAGCGUUAUCCGGAUUUACUGGGCGUAAAGCGUCUGUAGGUGGUUCGGUGUGUCUGUUGUCGAAACGCAGAGCUUAGCUCUGUGGGGCAUUUGGAUACUAUCGAACUGGAGGGCGGUAGAGGUGGGGGGAAUCCCUCGAGGAGCAGUGAAAUGCUUAGAUACGUGGGAGAAGGCCGGAGGCGAAAGCUCCCCACUGGGCCGUACCUGACACUGAGAGACGAAAGCUAGGGGAGCAAAUGGGAUUAGAGACCCCAGUAGUCCUAGCCGUAAACUAUGGGCACUCGAUGCUGCGCGCCAUUCGCGCAGUACCCCAGCUAACGCGAUAAGUGCCCCGCCUGAGGAGUACGCUUGCAAGGGUGAAACUCAAAGGAAUUGACGGGGGCUCGCACAAGCGGUGGAGCAUGUGGUUUAAUUCGAUGCAACGCGAAGAACCUUACCUGGGCUUGACAUGGUGCCCGCGCGCCCCUAAUGGGGUUCCGCAACACAGGCACACACAGGUGGUGCACGGCUGUCGUCAGCUCGUGUCGUGAGGUGUUGGGUUAAGUCCCGCAACGAGCGCAACCCCCAUCUGGAGCUGAUAGGCUACAGAGACUGCCAAAUACCGAACUCUGGUUCGAAAAUGGAGGAAGGUGGGGAUGACGUCAAGUCAUCAUGCCCCUUAUGCCCUGGGCUACACACGUGCUACAAUGGUCGGGUCAAUGGUUGGCAGGCUACACAUAACCUGUGCCUCUCCGCGAGGGGAGGUUUCCCUAAACCCGGCCCCACUUCGGAUCGUGGGCUGCAACUCGCCCACGUGAAGCCGGAAUCGCUAGUAAUCGCCGGUCAGCAACACGGCGGUGAAUUCGUUCCCGAGCCUUGUACACACCGCCCGUCACGCCACGGGAGCCGGUCUUCCCUGAAGCUUUCGUUGAAAAGGUUAAGGAAGGACUGGUAACUGGGGUGAAGUCGUAACAAGGUAGCC
rnacentral:rRNA from 1 species